rnacentral:lncRNA from 1 species
CUAAAAUGCAUAUCUCCCAGUUUUUAAGUAUUCAGUCUGCCCUGUAUAAUAGGAGCUGUUUGUUAUCAAAAGAAUGUCUGUUUCGUAACAUCUUUCCAUGAAAAGCUAGAACAUCAGUGCUUGCUCCUGGAAAAGAUCAGUUCAGAAAGUUCUGCCUUCAUGUAGCCCUGGCUGUGAGGCCCGAGCAUUGCUGCCUUCAUCUCCUGCCGCUGGAGCCUGAGCAAGUUAUGUGCCAAAAGGACCCAUGCUACCAGAGCCACUCUCAUCGGAUCUGGAAGCAGAGUCAUUGUAGAUUAUAUGCAUUCAUCACAAAUCAAAAAGGGAGAGUGUCCAGGUCUGGACUUGAUGAACUUUUGCAGAUCCCUUACAACUGGACAGCACCUCAGACUGAUAAGAAAUGUCUUCAGCUCCUGAAAGCGCCUUGUUCUGCCAAUGGGCUGUCAGGUUCUACCACAACACUUCUGUGUUGUGGCCUGAUUCCAUCACUGUGACUGGCAGAAUCUAGUGAAGAAGCUGCAAAAUUGCAAAGAGCUGCCCAAAGUCCAAAACAAGUGGCAAAAUACCCACCUGCUGAGAUUCACGCUGUUUGGUGGCUAAUAGCUCAAACAUCUUCCACCCUGUAAGCAUGUUUAUAC